AGCAGCCGCGGUAAUUCCAGCUCCAAUAGCGUAUAUUAAAGUUGUUGCAGUUAAAAAGCUCGUAGUUGAAUUUCGGGAUUGGCGCAUCGGUCGUGCCUCACGGGGUAUGAACUGGUGCAGUCAAUUUCUCACCUUCUGGAGAACCGCGAUGUCCUUAAUUGGAUGCCGCGGGGAACCAGGACCUUUACUUUGAAAAAUUAGAGUGUUUAAAGCAGGCAUUUUUGCUUGAAUACAUUAGCAUGGAAUAAUAAAAUAGGACGGCAUGGUUCUAUUUUGUUGGUUUCUAGGACCACCGUAAUGAUUAAUAGGGAUAGUUGGGGGCAUUAGUAUUCAAUUGUCAGAGGUGAAAUUCUUGGAUUUUAUUGAAGACUAACUACUGCGAAAGCAUUUGCCAAGGAUGUUUUCAUUAAUCAAGAACGAAGUUAGGGGAUCGAAGACGAUCAGAUACC
rnacentral:rRNA from 1 species